CUGUGUAUGCAGAAGCAGGAAGCUGCUGCUGUUUUUCAGGUGAUGUCACUGUUACGUACACCAGUGAAACUCCGCGUGUUAAAGGAACUCGACGGAUCCAACCGAGGCAAACGAGAUGAGGAUCGUCGGUGUUCAGCCGCAGGAAUAGAACGUGUGACACAAACUGCUCGGUACGACUCCACCGGGUUUGAAGCGUUUGAAGGAGAAACCCAGGAUCAGCUCAGUGUGUGUGCCAAUUGUCCUCUCCCACUGCAGCCAUGGUGACAGCAGUCCUGAAGUUGUACUUUAUUGGAACCGCGCUGACCGUCCUUGCAGUCAUUUACCAAAUUGUGGACUCUUUCGGCGGCCUGAUGUACAUCCAGGACCGAAAUUACACUCUGGAUCUGGACCACCAGACGCACAGAGAGCUCCCGUCACGGAACCGGCGGAGAGGAUCGUCUGUGACAAAAGGAAUCGGCUCCUAGUGGAAACAUCUCGACGUACGAAACUGUUUGCUGGAUGGACAUGUUGGACAUUAGCAAUGGAUCAAGAGACAGUAACUACAGGAGAUAAUAACUACUGGUUUCAUCACUGACAAAAUACGUCGCCGUGUCUGAUUAGUUGGAAAUGUUGUGCACGGGACAGUUUCUUUAGAUGGAUGCAUGUCUGCUAUUCCUACUUUGCACCAUCUGUGGUAAAACACUGCUGUGUUUAAUCCCCUUCAAGUCUGAUGACAAUGUAACACCACUACUGAUGAUUUGCACUAAAUCUUAUUAUAUAUAAUGUUGUUUUC